GUGAACGCUGGAGGCGUGCCUAACACAUGCAAGUCGAGCGAGAACAGGUUCUAGCUUGCUAGAACGCUGCUAAGCGGCGGACGGGUGAGUAACACAUAAAUAACUUGCCUUCUUGUUGGGGAUAACCCCGCGAAAGCGGUGCUAAUACCGAAUAAUCUGAUGUUAUCACAUGGUUUUAUCAGGAAAGGCUUCGGCCACAAGAAGAGAGGUUUAUGUCUGAUUAGCUAGUUGGUGAGGUAAUGGCCCACCAAGGCUUUGAUCAGUAGCUGGUCUGAGAAGAUGGUCAGCCACACUGGGACUGAGACACGGCCCAGACUCCUACGGGAGGCAGCAGUGAGGAAUUUUGCGCAAUGGACGAAAGUCUGGCGCAGCGACGCCUCGUGAAUGAUGAAGUCUUUCGGGAUGUAAAGUUCUGUCAGUGGGGAAAAUUAUGAUGGUACCCACAGAGGAAGCACCGGCUAACUACGU
rnacentral:rRNA from 1 species